UUCCAUACACUAUGUUCAGUACUAGAAAAUAGAAUUUUGCCUCUUCGGGGACUCUGUAGAUGUAAGGCGUUCGAGCAUGAAGAGAAGCACCAAUAUGGGAAAACUGAGCCUGUGGCAGAUAAAUAUAUAUAAAAGAAUGGCAAAGUCAUACCAAUGUACCCUGACAUGAAUUAAAUGCAACAACAGCUCCUGUCAGGUCAAAGUUGAUCCACUGCUGGCUUCCCUUCUGCUGAAAACAACAAACCAACUCCUCACAAGUCUUGCUGGCGCUGCUGUUUUGUAUGUCAGAAGAAAGUCUGCAGGUGCAAUUAGAAUUUUCUCUCAAUUCCCUAAUCCAUGCUGAGUGCCUCGUUUGGGGCACCUCCCAGACUCAGGCUCUAAGAGCUCAGAACAAUCUACUAGUGUCAACAGGCUGAAUGCAACAAAACCGGUCCCACCAGAAUUCGUGUGCAAAGCUGAAUUUAUGCUUUGCCCUCCAUCUCAUUAACUUUUCCUGAACUUAAAUUACUUGAGACUGUUCCCUGAGUUACUAGUAGUACAUUUAUAGACCUAUCCACCAAGCCCUGUAAAUACCGUAUUACAGCUCAGUUUGAUUCUAAACUGUGGCAUAACGCCCCCAUGCCUCGAAAACAACUGAAGCUUGUCUGUUAUCCAAGUGUAUGUAUUUAACUGGUUUGUAGUAAGUCUAUAACAAUGAAUGGCUUACGCGACACUAUAUAAAUUGAUUCCAGUAAUGUUUUAAUGUAAGUACUUUGUAUAUAUUUGUACAUUUUUAAGAACUAUCAUGCCAUUUGUUUCCUAACUCCCUUAUUGUCUCUGAAUAAUGCUAGUUCAAAAAUUAAAAUUGGAUUUUCAAGCUGAUUGUAAAUAUUUAAAAGAUCUGCUGAAAAGGGGCCAAAUCCUUGUAGGAUUUAGUAUGGUUAAUUGUUAAUUAAACAAAUCAGUAUUAAUAAUACACAACUAUUUUCUGAAAACUAGAUUGCAUUUAGGAUUGCCUAAAAUAUUACAAUUGGUUUUAUUUCAUUUUCUACAGAAUUUUGAAGAACACAGUUACUAAACAUAAGUAUGUGUGCUAGGUUCUCAACUAUUCCUGUCUUCUACAGAUCAUAAAUUAGCUAUGAAGAUGUAGUUCUAUUUUCCCACAGGAAAGGCAAUUUCAUGAAAAAAAUCUAAAGCAUGGAUGAAAAGAUUCUAUAUUUAGAAUUACACUGAGGACUUACUAUGACCUUCAGAGAAUAGAAACUAAAAGGCUCAAUUUUUACAUACAAAAGAGCUGUUCAGUAAAACCUGAAAUUAAAAAAAGUGUUUAGAACACCUGCUUUCCAUGCAUUUGCCUUUUUUGAACAAAAUUUUUUAAAAGUUAAGCUUGAUUGAAACAUGCAUUAAUGUGACACAUUAAAUCUGGUUAACAAAGUAGUAGUGAUUACCAAUCUCAUAAACAUAAGAAGCUUGGUCACGCUUCUGCAAAUGAGCUACCAUAUUUUAGCUAUAGGCAGCAAUUUCUGUACAGUUCUUGGGGCUAGGAGGGCAAAUCGAAACCUUUAUCCAUCUCUACGCAAACACCAUAUUCACCUCACUAAUACAUGUUGUUACAUAAGAAGCAACCAUCAACAUGACCAAACAGCGCUUUGACUAUCCCAUUUUUAUGCCUUUCAUUAGAUUUCUGAGGGUUCUGUUUACAUAUUACUCAAAUCCUCUCUACACUUUCAGUUUGGAAGAUUCACUGAGCUUUCCCCUAUCUGGCUUCCAUGGAAAUGAAUCCUAAUUUAUAAGGCAAAAGCUAUUCAGAAGUGCCUCUUGGGACUCAGAUUUAGGAGUCAUACCUGCCUCACUGCCCCCCAAAAUCCUUUACUACAAUAGAACCAUUAUUGAUGUGUCUUUCACAAGCUUCUUGAAAAUCUUCCAGUGCAUCUUCUUCAACUAUUGUGUCCUGCAAGAUCACCUGUGCACAGAGAGCCUGUUAGAUUUCUGAAUGUUCAGGGGUAGGACCUAUCUCCUAUUAUCCAUAUAUAUGGUGCCUACCAUAAAAUGGACCUGUCUGAGGCCUCAGGAUGCUUUUGUAAUACAAAUACUAUUAAUACAUUAUAUGUUGACGCUCAGAAUGGGUUUGGAAUGUGCUCUGGCAGUAAGCCUGGCUCCCUCUAGCCACAAAUAGCUAAACAUCAUGUCAUUCUUUGCUCUACUUUUCAGAUAACCUUUUUUCUCAAUGCAUGAAAUUGUGCAUAAACAAAUGUUGCAUAUUGUGGCUGCCCAACUAAUCCUAUUGUUGCCCAAUUACAGAGUCCUAGGGAAAAGGUCUAGCUAGUUUGUUAGUAGACACCAUUCCUGCAGAUGAAGAUGAUUGUAAAAAUGAGCUUUGGAUAGGUGUAAGGUGGGUAACACAAAAUCACUUCCUUACUACCUAACAUGAUAAUAUAUCUCAGCUAUAAAACGCAAUAGCAAGCAAUGCAAAGAUUUUAAAAAGCAAGCAGGGUUCAAUUAUAUGAAAUCUCACAAUAUCUACAUAAUAUCUGUAGUUAUAUAGCACCUUUAUCUUAGUAUCAUAAGGAGCAUUACAAAGCUGGGGAAGUAUCACUAUCCAUGUUUUAUAGAUGGGGAAACUGAGGCACUGGGACUCUAAAGGUCAUACAUUGAGGCCAAGUCAAUGUUACAAACUUACGUCAGUAAAACUAUGUAAAAAAAAUCCAUACCCCUGAGUGAUACAGUUAUACCUACCUAAACCCUGGUGUGGACAGCACUAUGUCAGCAGGAGGGCUUCUCCUAUUGACAUAGCUACUGUUUCUUGCAGAGGUGGAUUAACUAUACUGACAGGACGUGCUCUCCCGUCAGCGUAGUAGCACCUUCACUGAAGCACUACCGUGCACCACUGCCGCGUUUUAAGCAUAGAUCUGCCCUGAGUAAAUAGUAAGAAAAGAAUAUACACAUCCUCACCCCUAGUCCUUCACUCUAACCACCUAAUCAACUUGCUUCCCUCUGCACUCCACAACUAAACUAACUAAAAUAUUAUCUUAUAUGAAGAAUGCAGCAGGGAUGUUUUUGUCGUGCCUGCAUGAUCCUCCAUCAAUCUCCAUUACAAACAUAAUAAAUCAUUACAGUGCACUCCACUAAAACUCUGCAGGAAUAAUGAGCACAUUUUAAGUUUUUUUAAUGCUAUUAGUACAGUAGUUUACAUUUAAUACAGUAACAUUACCUUGACGGGAGUAUUGUAAGUCACUGAAGGAUGAUUAUAGAUUCUGAACCCAGCCCAUAUAGGAAGACAAAUAUAUGGUACAUUUAAGAAAGAAGCAGGACACAUUCUUGCUCCAUAUUUACCUAUUAAAAGAAAUAAUCAUAAAACAUGUGAAGAAUUAGUAUACUAACUCUAUAUGGAGAAAAUUACAGCAUAUCUGAUGGAGCAUCCGCACCAAACAGCUACGAUAAUGCUGGAUGUAAAAAGCUUUUUAAAUGCUGGCAACCCAGCAUACAAAUCUGGUGGAAAAGCCUGUGCUGGCAAAUGGAAGAGCCACACACAAGCAGGUAACAACUAGAUACAGUAUGGUGUGUUGUUUCAAAGAUGAGAUUUUCUGUUUGUGACAGCCAGCUGCCUCAGCCACUGACCUCUUUUCUACAUACCCACAGGGACGGAAGAGCUCCGAACGCUGUUAAUACAACCUGCUCUAGAUAAAGGCAUCUUCCACAAAAGAAAAACUGACACUUUUAAGUCUGAUAUUAUGCUCUGCUUACUAAAUCUUGGUUUCUAAUGCAGGGCAGUGACAAUGCUUGGGAAAAGGGUCACA